rnacentral:rRNA from 1 species
GUGAGGAAUCUUCCACAAUGGGCGAAAGCCUGAUGGAGCAACGCCGCGUGCAGGAUGAAGGCCUUCGGGUUGUAAACUGCUUUUAUAAGUGAAGAAUAUGACGGUAACUUAUGAAUAAGCACCGGCUAACUACGUGCCAGCAGCCGCGGUCAUACGUAGGGUGCAAGCAUUAUCCGGAGUGACUGGGCGUAAAGAGUUGCGUAGGUGGUUAUGUAAGUGAAUAGUGAAACCUGGUGGCUCAACCAUACAGACUAUUAUUCAAACUGCAUAACUCGAGAGUGGUAGAGGUAACUGGAAUUUCUUGUGUAGGAGUGAAAUCCGUAGAUAUAAGAAGGAACACCAAUGGCGUAGGCAGGUUACUGGACCAUUUCUGACACUGAGGCACGAAAGCGUGGGGAGCGAACCGGAUUAGAUACCCCUGUAGUCC